rnacentral:rRNA from 1 species
AACGAACGCUGGCGGCAGGCUUAACACAUGCAAGUCGAACGCCCUCUUCGGAGGGAGUGGCAGACGGGUGAGUAACACGUGGGAAUCUACCUAUCAGUAGGGAACAACACAUAGAAAUGUGUGCUAAUACCUUAUACGUCCUUCGGGAGAAAGAUUUAUCGCUGAUAGAUGAGCCCGCGCUUGAUUAGCUAGUUGGUGAGGUAAUGGCUCACCAAGGCGACGAUCAAUAGCUGGUCUGAGAGGAUGAUCAGCCACACUGGGACUGAGACACGGCCCAG